UACGUAGGUGGCAAGCGUUGUCCGGAUUUAUUGGGCGUAAAGGGCGCGCAGGCGGUUCGUUUAGUCCGAGGUGAAAUCUCCCGGCUCAACUGGGAGGGGUCUUUGGAUACUGGCGGACUUGAGGUGAGCAGAGGUGAGCGGAAUUCUGGGUGUAGUGGUGAAAUGCGUAGAUAUCCAGAGGAACACCAGUGGCGAAGGCGGCUCACUGGGCUCCACCUGACGCUGAGGCGCGAAAGCGUGGGGAGCGAACAGG
rnacentral:rRNA from 1 species